rnacentral:rRNA from 1 species
CCUACGGGUGGCUGCAGUGGGGAAUAUUGCACAAUGGGGGAAAACCUGAUGCAGCAACGCCGCGUGAGCGAUGAAGGCCUUCGGAUCGUAAAGCUCUGUCAUAAGGGAAGAAUACUGACGGUACCUUAGGAGGAAGCCCCGGCCAACUACGCGCCAGCAGCCGCGGUAAUACGUAGGGGGCUAGCGUUAUCCGGGAUUACUGGGCGUAAAGGGUGCGUAGGCGGCCCUUCAAGUCAGGGGUGAAAGGCUACGGUUCGAACGUAGUAAGCCGUUGAAACUGUAGGGAUUGAGUGCAGGAGGGGUGAGGGGAGUUCCCAGUGUAGCGGUGAAAUUCGUAGAGAUUGGUAGGAACGCCAGUUUCGAAGGCGGCUCUCUGGACUGUGCCUGACGCUGAGGCCCGAAAGCGUGGGGAGCGGACAGGAUUAGAUACCCGUGUAGUC